GUUAAAAAGCUCGUAGUUGGAUUUCUGGGAGGGUGCCAAUGUCCGCCGACGUGCGUGCGCAGCGGCGCCCUUCCAUCCUUCUGUUAACGCCUCUUGGCAUUCAUUUGCUGGUGGCGGGCUCAGAUAUUUUACCUUGAGAAAAUUAGAGUGUUUCAGGCAGGCUAGGCCGGAAUACAUUAGCAUGGAAUAACGGAAUAGGACUACGGUCUCUUUGUUGGUUUGAGGGACUGCAGUAAUGAUUAAUAGGGAUAGUUGGGGGCAUCAGUAUUUAAUUGUCAGAGGUGGAAUUCUCGGAUUUGUUAAAGACUAACUUAUGCGAAGGCAUUUGCCAAGGAUGUUUUCAUUAAUCAAGAACGAAAGUUAGGGGAUCAAAGUCGAUCAGAUACC
rnacentral:rRNA from 1 species